UGCCCUCAAAUAGAAAGAAUAGAAACAAAAACGAGGCAAAAGACGAAAAGAUAAAAAACCUCAAUUCUUGCUCUACUCUCUUUGUUUUGCAACCGAGCUCAGAUUCACACUCAAGAAAUUCGUGGCUUCAUGGUGGUCUGGCAUCUUUGAUUUGAGAAAAUUUUUGUGUGCUAUUGUCUAAAACUUGGAACUAGUCUGAGAUCUCAUAGAAACUUCAGCGUCGUGAUCUAAAGCUUGGGUCUUCGUGGUGCUCUGGUGUUUCGUGGCAUCGUCUUCUUCUCAAGGUCGUGUUCAGGUUCGUGAGAUCCUUGAAGUAGAUUUGUGCUGGUAAUUUUUUGGGUCUCUAUGAUCCUCGUGUGGGUCAUCUUCAAGUGAAGUGGAUCUGUACUAGCAAUUUUGUAGGUAUUUAGGAUCCCCGUAUGGGUCAUCUUCAAGACCCCGAUUCCCAAAAUGGUAAAAGAGCAUGACUAACUCUGCAUGGUGCAUGCAUGCUUGAGACUUCUAAUUGGCCUAUGCAUCUUCCAACUUUUCCUUCACAUGCCUGAGUCUGUGGAGGCUGUGCUACUUAGGACAUGUUGAAGCUGCAAUGGAGAGUAUCCACUCCUUGAGCAAAUGCAUUUAUGUUUAAUUGUAUAAUGUAAUUUAGCUUCAUUCCCAAACUAGCCAGAAUAGAAGUGGGAGAACAAAUGCAUUUAUGUUUAAUUGUAUAAUGUAAUUUAACCAGUAUGUACGAGUCUGUGGGUGUUUCAUUUAAUUGAAAAGUUUGUAAAUUUGGGAGAAUAGAUUGCAGUAGAAAGUAGAAACUACAAAUAUGAGAAUUAUCUUAUGGCA